rnacentral:rRNA from 1 species
UACGGAGGGUGCAAGCGUUAUCCGGAUUCACUGGGUUUAAAGGGUGACGUAGGUGGGUUGGUAAGUCAGUGGUGAAAUCCCCGAGCCUUAACUUGGGAACUGCCAUUGAUACUAUCAGUCUUGAAUACCGUGGAGGUGAGCGGAAUAUGUCAUGUAGCGGUGAAAUGCUUAGAUAUGAACAUAGAACACCAAUUGCGAAGGCAG